GAGUUUAGAGUUGUACGGAGGCUCGGGGACGUGAGAAGAGUGAGACUGAGAGGUCGUUGCGUUGCAGCUGAAUGGAAUCCUCGCUUUGACAAGCAGAGAGUCACUUUCUUGGAGGACAGUUUACUGCUUUCAUCGGAUACUUCCCUGGCACACCAACUGGCACAAGCAAAAUAGUAUCGUUAUAACAGUCCACUAGUUGUAGUCAUGGCUAUGGCUAGCAUGAUUGUUCAGGGGUCCAGACUGUUGGCAUCAGGACUGUCCAGGGCACUGCCACGUUUCACCCAACCCUCCUGCUCUGCUACAAUGGGAAGAAACUACCAGCCGAGUAACACCAGGAGGUGGAACGUACACAGCUACGAGACCAGGCUGAAGACCAGGGGAGGCAUCGAGGUGCUCCUCAGACGCAUGUUGAAAGGAAGACACAACCUGGCCCAUUUUCACCACAGAAACAAGGUCUCACCCAAGAGCAACUAUGUUAACUAUCAGAAAAUAAUGAGGUACCAGUUGACAAAAGGGAAGCCUUUAGAUACUGUGUACAAACGGGAGUGAGGAUGACAUGCGUGAGGACUCUAAUGACCUAGCACUUUUUGACACUGUCUUACCAUGUAAGUUGUAACCAAUACAAAUUUGGUGCCAAAAGGCUACUUGAGCAGGGAGAGAGGUUCAACCAGCGACGAGAUCCAAAAUGUAUUUGUUUACAGAUGAAUCAGCAGGAUAAAGGUUUAUGUGAUCAAAUCCUGUGCUGGAAGAAAAUUGUACUGUAUCAGCCAUAUGUACUGAUGACUAUGUGAAGGCUGGCACAGGGGUACUGUACUGCCUAGAACUCAAAAAAAAAUAUAAGAAUAAGCACACAAUUUCAGGAAAUGCUAGCCUGUGAGUGUCAUAGUCUUGUUGAUAAGAUGGUACAUGUAACAUUACAUUGUAUGAUAGAAUAAAACUUGAUUACAAA